rnacentral:rRNA from 1 species
AGAGCGAACGCUGGCGGCGUACUUAACACAUGCAAGUCGAACGGGGAUUGUCGGGUUAGCAAUAAUUCGGCGGUCCUAGUGGCGCACGGGUGAGUAACACGUGGGUAACCUGCCCUAGAGUUCGGGAUACCCCCUCGAAAGGGGGGCUAAUACCGGAUACGUUCCUCGAGUCGAGAGACUUGAGGAGGAAAGGUGGCGCAAGCUGCCGCUCUUGGAGGGGCUCGCGGCCUAUCAGCUAGUUGGCGGGGUAACGGCCCACCAAGGCUAUGACGGGUAGCUGGUCUGAGAGGACGACCAGCCACACGGGGGACUGAGACACGGCCCCGACUCCUACGGGAGGCAGCAGUGGGGAAUCUUGCGCAAUGCGCGAAAGCGUGACGCAGCAACGCCGCGUGGGGGAAGAAGGCCUUCGGGUUGUAAACCCCUUUCAGGAGGGACGAAGGUGCGGCGGCGAACAGCCGACCGUACUGACGGUACCUCCAGAACGAAGCCCCGGCUAACUACGUGCCAGCAGCCGC